GCGGUGGAGCAUGUGGUUUAAUUCGACGCAACGCGAAGAACCUUACCAGGGCUUGACAUCCCCUGACCGCGUAUGAAAGUACGUUUUCACCUUCGGGUGACAGGGAGACAGGUGGUGCAUGGUUGUCGUCAGCUCGUGUCGUGAGAUGUUGGGUUAAGUCCCGCAACGAGCGCAACCCCUACGUUUAGUUGCUAACGCGUGAAGGCGAGCACUCUAGACGAACUGCCGUUGACAAACGGAGGAAGUGGGGAUGACGUCAAAUCAUCAUGCCCCUUAUGUCCUGGGCCACACACGUGCUACAAUGGCCGGUACAGAGGGAAGCGAAGCCGUGAGGCGGAGCAAAUCCCAAAAAGCCGGUCUCAGUUCGGAUUGCAGGCUGCAACCCGCCUGCAUGAAGUCGGAAUCGCUAGUAAUCGCAGGUCAGCAUACUGCGGUGAAUACGUUCCCGGGCCUU
rnacentral:rRNA from 1 species